ACCGCCCCCAAAGCCCCAACCCCCGGCGCAGCGACAGUUUCUCCAAGCUCUACCCCACAAACUUCACGCGGAGGCACAAAGAUUUGGGGGGAUGGGCGCACAGACACCAGAUUUCCCUGCUGUGUUUCAAACUUCAGCAGUACCACCACACGCAUCAUUAUCUGCGGAGCAGACCCUGUUUCAGUAAGGUUGAUGGCCAAGAAAACAAAAGAGCUCUAAGAAAUCAGAAGCAAGCACUAUUUUACCUAUUAAUUAAUUGUGUAAUAGGUUUAUACAAGCAUUUUCCUUCAACAUACCAACAAAACCGGAGUAUCUUUUCAAAGCUGACCCUGUUUACUAUUGAUACACUUAAUGCAGCCUUUUCUUUAUUCAAAACAUUGUUAUAAAAUUAUCUAAGGGCACGUUAAAAUGGAAGGAAUUUUUAAAAAAACAAAGCAACUCAAAUGCCAAAGUAAAAGUGAAUAAAUGUCUGGAACCAUAACAUUUUGUGGUAAUCGUAUUAAAACAAAAUGUUUGUGAAGAAUCGAUAAAUGUGCUUCAUCGGGGGUAACGUUUGUUAAAUGUUGCCUUAAUUUUUUUUUUUUUUUUUUGCAAGAGAGCUGUGUCCUGUUCAUGUUUACUUAUUCUGUUUCCUGUUCCUAUGUUUACCUACCAUGUAAUUUGCCAAGAUUCUGUGUUACUUGUGGAGGUACACACUGAAAGGCUCACUUGGAAAUCGGGAAGGAAUACAGGCCCUUUUCUCAGUAAGUGGGGGCGGGGGAAAGAGCAGCCUAGGUUUUGGAAGGUAAGAAAAUUCUUUGAACAGAAAUUAGCAUCCUGGCUUUUAGGGGAGAACUGAGUAAACUUCACUGAUUCCCUUUAUUCAGUAUCUAUACUUUUUAAGGCAAUUUCUCCUUUGGAUUUUUCAUGAAUAGGUACUUCAAUUUACUAUAUACCAAAUGAUUAUGUAAAAAACAACAUUCAACCUUUCAGUGAAUAUCACGCCUGUCAAUGAAUUCUUUAAUUCUUUUCUCAGAGGUAGCUCAACUGAUAAAGAAUUCGCCAGCAAUAAGGAGACCCCAGUUUGAGUCCUGGGCCAGGAAGAUCCGCUGGAGAAGGGAUAGGCUACCCACUCCAGUAUUCUGGCCUGGAGAAUUCCAUGAACUGUAUAGUCCAUGGGGUCCCAGAGAGUCAGACAUGAUUGAGUGACUUUCAGAACAGAAAUGUAGUUUUUUAUCUUGGCCCCCUUUCCCUAAUUUUAAAAUUGGGAGCAGAACUGAAAAAGAUGCAAAAGCUGAAGAACCAUCCCAUCCCCCCUAAAGUCUUCUCAAUCUUUGCUUUGUUCAUUGUAAACUGCUUCUAAAUGAGAAAUAUCAAUGCAGUGAUUAAACAUCCAACCAACUAUUAAUACCUGCUCCAA